rnacentral:lncRNA from 1 species
CCCACAGGCAGCCCCACAGGGACCCCAUAGAGCCCUAUAGACCCCCAUAGAGACCCCAGGCAGCCGCAUAGGGCCCCCCCAGGGACCCCACAGAGCCCUAUAGGGCCCCAAGGAGCCACUGCAGCGUCCCCUGGCAGCCCCACAGAGGCCCCAGGGGCCUUAUAGGGCCCUAUAGGCCCCACAGAGCCCCCGGAGAGUCCCCCAGGGUUCGCUAUAGAGGCCUACGGGUCCCCACGGAGACCCAAGAAGACCCUAUAGAGCCCUGUACGCCCUCCCAGAGCUCCCAGGAGCCCCACAGAGCCCCCCAGGGACCCCAUAGAGUCCCCAGGCAGCCCCACAGGGUCCUUAUAGCACCCCAUAGGGCCCCAAUAUCGCCCCGCAGAGCACUAAUAGAGCCCUAUGGGGCCCCAGCAUCACCCCUUAGGGCCCUUAUAGUGCCCCAUAGGGCCCCAAUAGAGCCCCAUAGGGACCUAACGGAGCCCCAGAGAGCACUAACAGAGCCCUAUAGGGCCCCAAUAAAGCCCCAUAAGGACCUUGUAGUGCCCCAGAGGGCCCUUAUAGCACCCCCUAGGGCCCCAAUAUCACCCCCUAGGGCCCUUAUAGCGCCCCAUAGGGCCCCAAUAUCACCCAUAGAGCCCCAAUAGAGCCCUAGAGGGACCUAAUAGAGCCCCACAGGGCCCUAUAGGACCCUAAUAGAGCCCCAAUACCACCCCUAGGGCCCUUAUAGCACCCCAUAGGGCCCCAAUACCACCCCCUAGGGCCCUUAUAGUGCCCCAUUGGGCCCCAAUCCCACCCCCUAGGGCCCUAGAGGCACCCCAUAGGGCCCCAAUAUCACCCAUAGAGCCCCAAUAGAGCCCUAGAGGGACCUAACAGAGCCCCACAGGGCCCUAUAGGACCCCAACAGAGCCCCAAUACCACCCCCUAGGGCCCUUAUAGCACCCCAUAGGGCCCCAAUUCCACCCCCUAGGGCCCUUAUAGCGCCCCACAGGGCCCCAAUCCC